rnacentral:rRNA from 1 species
ACAAGCUCGCGCUCUAGGAUGGGUCCGCGGCCCAUCAGCUAGUUGGUAGGGUAACGGCCUACCAAGGCAACGACGGGUAGCUGGUCUGAGAGGAUGGCCAGCCACACUGGAACUGAGACACGGUCCAGACUCCGUACGGGAGGCAGCAGGUGGGGAAUCUUGCGCAAUGGACGAAAGUCUGACGCAGCGACGCCGCGUGGGUGACGAAGGCCUUCGGGUUGUAAAGCCCUGUGGGGAGAGACGAACCGGCAUCUGGCUAACAUCCAGGUGCUCUGACGGUAUCUCCUUAGCAAGCAUCGGCUAACUCUGUGCCAGCAGCCGCGGUAAGACAGAGGAUGCAAACGUUGCUCGGAAUUACUGGGCGUAAAGCGCGCGCAGGCGGUCCCGUAAGUCGGGUGUGAAAAGCCCCGGGCUCAACCCGGGAAGUGCACUCGAUACUGCGAGACUGGAGUACUGGAGAGGAGAGCGGAAUUCUCGGUGUAGAGGUGAAAUUCGUAGAUAUCGGGAG